rnacentral:rRNA from 1 species
UACGUAGGGUGCAAGCGUUGUUCGGAAUUACUGGGCGUAAAGGGCUCGUAGGCGGCCAACUAAGUCAGACGUGAAAUCCCUCGGCUUAACCGGGGAACUGCAUCUGAUACUGGAUGGCUUGAGUUCGGGAGAGGGAUGCGGAAUUCCAGGUGUAGCGGUGAAAUGCGUAGAUAUCUGGAGGAACACCGGUGGCGAAGGCGGCAUCCUGGACCGACACUGACGCUGAGGCGCGAAAGCGUGGGGAGCAAACAGG